UAAGAUGGCUGAGUGUAAAGCGGUGGAUUGUAGACCCAUGGACGAAGGCUCAACCCCUUCUCUUGC
rnacentral:tRNA from 1 species